UAAUGCCUUCCAAUACUAUGUUGAAGUGUAAUCAUAUUUGUAUUCGGAGUAUUAUAUUUGAAAUUAUUGGUAAUUAUGAAUGUCAAAAAAAAAAUUAAACUGGUUUCUGAAUGUGUUCAAAAGUGAGUUAUAAUGUGGCGUCACCAAUUGACUUCUCAAUAAAUGCUGGCAUACGACGCUACUAGUAUGCCAAAAACUGUAUUUCAUGAGAAGUGUACAUGCACGGUGAAUCACAUUUUCAAGAAAUCCAAGAACUAUAUUUCCUGAGAAGUGUACAUGCACGAUGAAUCAAAUCUUCAAUAAAUUUAACCAAAAGCUGAAUUUCCUGAGAAGUGUACAUGCACGGUGAAUCAAAUCUUCAAGAAAUUAUAUGUUCAGUUGCACUGACAUGGAAACCAGAGGAAAAAAGGAAAGUUGGACGUCCCAAAACCACCUGGAGAAGGACUAUAGAGACAGAACGAACAUCACUCUCGGAUAGAACAGAUGGGCUACAGCAAGAACAGCAGCUAAAGACCGUGUGAAAUGGAAAAAAUGUAUCAGGGCCUUAAAUGCCGACCGGCGUGAAGAGGAUAGGUGAGGUGAGGUGAUAUCUUAAAUAAAACAAAUGCCCAUUUGUAGUAAAGAGGGAACAUGUCGUGUUCUUGUAUUGUAAGUCGUUGCAUUUUGAGAUCGUUUUUGUAUAGUACUGCGGACGAUAAAACAGUGUAGGAUGAAAUACUUUCAUAUCAACAGAUAUCACCAUUUGAGUUUGGAAACUAUGAUUGCUGGUUUUCUUGGAAAAUUCUAGGAUUUAUAUAUCAUCGUGGUUGACUUGUGCUGUGUUUCUAUUUUGAAUUAUACACAGGAAGUUAAUUUUGUUUUAAUGAUAAUUUCCAUACUUCCGUUUUUUAAUACAUUCAUCGAUUUCAAACUUGUUAAUUUUAAUGUGGUAAGGAAUCUUACAAAUACAGAUGACUUAUAACGAAGAUUGAUUUAAAAAAAAAAGGAAAAAUCUACGUUUAUCUUGGUACCUUAUGAAUUACGUUAAGGAAUAUUUUGUUCCUAAAAUAAUAUCUGAUAUUUUGCAACUAAUAAAAUGAAUACACAUAUAUAAAAAACUGUUUGUUGAAGAAAAAAAAACCGGAUGCAACUAUAAGAUAUCUUUAUAUUUUCUAAAGGACAAAGGGUUUACUCUUUAAUACUUUGCAGAUACAAAUAAAACCUUGCACGACAGAAGGUUUACCUACGAUAAGUCACCAUGGUCUUUGUAAUUAUUUCAUCUGCACUUGUUACCCUCCAAAAUAGGAAAAUCUACUAAACAUUGAUCGCUGCUACUCUCCAAUUUAAGGAAUAUUUUAUUCACGUAGUUCUAAAUGACCUUAACCUUUUAAACUUCUAAAUUCGUUUAAAGAUUUAGAUUUAAGAAGUCAGUUAGAAAGAUUUGCUGACAAUAAAAUUGAUGAUAACAUACGUCUAUGUAAUAACGGCCGUUUAACAAAUAAUGAUAUGUCCACUGGUUACCCUCUAUAGUAAGAUAAUCCACUGAACAUUAAUCGACAUCACCCUCAAAUUAAAUGAACGUUUUAUUUGAGUUGUUCUAAAUGACUCCAACCUUUCAAAUUUUUAAGUUCAUUUGAUGAAUGAGACUUUGGAAAUAAGUUAAAACAUUUUCUGCCCAUUAAAUUGAUAAUUACCAAGAUGUGUUCAAUAAUAGUCGAUAAACAAAUAAUGAUUUUAAUUGUAUACCCACUGUCUCAUGUCUUUUAAUAUAUCAUUAUAGCUUGUUAAACUACAGACUGAACUGUGAUACAAAGAUAAUAUAGUAAUUGAAGGCAGUUCUAUUAAUUGUUUACCAUUGUGAAUGUAGGACAGUAGUGAUUGUACAGAUUUUGUUUAUAUAAGAAAGUAAAAUGUACUGACUCUCAUUUUAUAAUAUCUAGAAAGCGUCAAUAGCUAAAUUGUAUAAAUAAAUGUUAUAAGACAACCGUUCAUUCUUCUUUCAACUGACCUGGAGAUGAACAUUAGCCUUAUUCUUUAAUUGUUUUUUUUUUCAAUGGUUUGUGGUCUAGUUUUGAGACUGCUUUCAAAUGGUUUAAAUAAAGCCUACAGACACAAAGUGCUAUACAAAAAAAUGUCUUCUUUUUAUUUGAUUAAAUAACAGAUAUUCAAAAGAUAUAAAAGUUUCUAGUCACCUUAGCAUGCAUAUCAGACAGGAAUACCAGUAUCAUUAAGAAUUAAUUUUGUGUGUUUCUUGACAAAACAAUGAAUAAGACAACAUGAUUGACACUGUAAAUAUAUUCCGCGGACAUUAGAAUUAUCGAAAUAAAUUUACUAAAAGACGAGUAGAUUGAUUAGAAAAAUUUCUUAAUGGUAAAACAAUGUUGCCUAUGAGUACAUGCUUAAUUCUUUUUAAUUUAUCACUACCAGACAAGAACUGUGUUUUCAGACAUAUAUUCAGACAUAUAUUCAUUAUCAUUAUAACAAUAAGGAGAUUUGGUAUGAUUGCCUAUGAGACAACUAUACACCAAAGUUCAUACCAAAAGGAUGUAAGCAGUUGUAAGCAACCGUACAGCCUUCAACAAUGAGAAAACUCCAUGUCGUAUAGUCGGCUAUAAAAGGCCUAAACAUGAAAAAUAUGAAACAAUUCAAUUGUGAAAACUAAUUGCUUAAUUUAUUACAAAACAGUUUACAAAAAAAUAAAUAUGUCAUUAUAGCUUGUUAAACUACAGAAUGAACUGUGAUAUAAAGAUAAUAUAGUAAUUGAAGGCGGUUCUAUUAAUUGUUUACCAUUGUGAAUGUAGGACAGUUGUGAUUGUACAGAUUUUGUUUAUAUAAGAAAGAAAUAUGUAUUGACUCCAACUUUAUAUAUCUAGAAAGCGUCAAUAGCAUACUAAUUUGUAUGAAUAAAUGGUAUAAGACAACCGUUCAUUCUUCUUUCAACUGACCUGGAGAUGAACAUCAGCCUUAUUCUUUAAUUGUUUUAUUUUAUUUCAAUUUUUUGUGGUCUAGUUUUGAGACUGCUUUCAAAUGGUUUAAAUAAGGCCUACAGACACAAAGUGCUAUACAAAAAAAUAUCCUCUUUUUAUUUGACCAAAUAACAGAUAUUCAAAAGAUAUAAAAUUUUCUAGUCACCUUAGCAUGCAUAUCAGACAGGAAUACAAGUAUCAUCAUGAUCAUAAAGAAUUUAUUGUGUGUGUUUCUUGACAAUACAAUGAAUGAGACAACAUGAUUGACCCUGUAAAUAUAUUCUUCGGACAUUAGAAUUAUCGAAACAAAUUUACUAAAAGACGAGUAGAUUGAUUAGAAAAAUUUCUUAAUGGUAAAACAAUAUUGCCUAUGAGUACAUGCAUAAUUCUUUUCAAUUUAUCACUACCAGACAAGAACUGUGUUUUCAGACAUAUAUUUAGACAUAUAUUCAUUAUCAUUAUAACAAUAAGGAGAUUUGGUAUUAUUGCCUAUGAGACAACUAUACACCAAAGUUCAUACCAAAAGGAUGUACGCAAUUGUAGGCAACCGUACAGCCUACAAGGAUGAGAAAAACCCAUAUCGUAUAGUCGUCUAUUAAAGGCCUUAACAUGAAAAAUAUGAAACAAUUCAAUUGUGAAAACUAACGGCCUAAUUUAUUACAAAACAGUUUACGAAAAACAAAUAUGACAGACAUGAACCAAAGACAACCAACCCAACUAUAGGCUUCUGACUUGGGAAGGCACAUUAAGAACGUGGCGGAAUUAAAGAGAUUAAGAAUGUGACGGCUCAACCUUCUCCGUAACGUAGGACAGUGGUGUUACCGCACUACUUACGAACAAACUAUACAACUCUGUUGAAAAAGGCUUAACUCAUCAGAUCGAUUCAAAGCAGAAAACAUCUAACAACAACACAGACCGGACGUGGCAGAGUAUUUAUACAUCCCCACAACAAAAAAGAAACUCAUCACAGAUAUGAGAGUCCUUGCAGGUACCGACAGCUAGUCCAAAGCCGAUAACAAUUAACUAAUAAAAAAGCAUGUAUCUAAGUCUUAAAUAAAAAUCAGUACACAUCCAUUGUCAAAAUAUAGGUAUCGACAAAUCUACCGUUGUGAAUGUAGUACAGGUAUAAUUGUACACAUUUUGUUUAGAUAAGAAACAAAAAUGUGUUGACUCUCACAUUAUUCUAAUUACAUUCAUUGUUCUUUCGCCUGACCUAGAGAUGAAAUAUGAUUUUGUUGUUCCAGUGUUGUUUAAUAUUUGUAGUGGGAUUGCUUUUUAAAUGGUGUAAUUAAGGCUCACAGAAACAAAACUUUUUCAUUAGACCUAGUAACAGAUAUUCAAAAGAUCAAACAUAAUAAAAUAAUGAUUUUGUCUUAUCACCCUAGCUUGCAUAUCAGACUUGAAUGUUAAUGAGAUUGAUCAUUGUUUUUGUAUGUUUCUUGACGAUCCAGUGAAUUAAACCUUGUUGU